rnacentral:rRNA from 1 species
UACGUAGGUGGCAAGCGUUGUCCGGAUUUAUUGGGUUUAAAGGGUGCGUAGGCGGCUUUGUAAGUCAGUGGUGAAAGCCGAUCGCUUAACGAUCGAACUGCCAUUGAUACUGUAGGGCUUGAGUAUAGAUGAGGUAGGCGGAAUUGACAGUGUAGCGGUGAAAUGCAUAGAUAUUGUCAAGAACACCGAUUGCGAAGGCAGCUUACUAAGUUAUAACUGACGCUGAGGCACGAAAGUGCGGGGAUCAAACAGG